UUUGGUUUCGACGGGGAUAUGGAAUCACGAGUAGCGAGUCGUUGUCGCCAAGCAACGGAAAAAGUGGCAAAAAACAAUAAACGCAAACGAUAAUUACGCACUAGCAGCCUAGUGACUGCUCGUCUUACCUUAGAGUCCUACGACUGAGGAUAAGGCGUCAACUUAGUAGGGAACCGCACCUGGCAAAGCUUUGAGCCGGGAACGGAACUUAUGAAGCUACUGAAACUGGAAUUCUGUCAGUAGAAGUCCAGUAGAGGGAAUGUCAAAUUACUGACUGCACUCGGAGAAACUCUUGUGGAAAUGUUUUCGGACGUGGGUUCGAUUCA
rnacentral:tmRNA from 1 species